rnacentral:rRNA from 1 species
UACGUAGGGGGCAAGCGUUGUCCGGAAUCAUUGGGCGUAAAGCGCGUGUAGGCGGUCCGGUAAGUCCGCUGUGAAAGUCGGGGGCUCAACCCUCGAAUGCCGGUGGAUACUGUCGGGCUAGAGUGCGGAAGAGGCGAGUGGAAUUCCUGGUGUAGCGGUGAAAUGCGCAGAUAUCAGGAGGAGCACCAAUUGCGAAGGCAGCUCGCUGGGACGUUACUGACGCUGAGACGCGAAAGCGUGGGGAGCAAACAGG